rnacentral:misc_RNA from 1 species
GGCUAUCAAAACUAAACCAGAAAUAUGGAGGUUGGUUCAAAAAUAUAAAUUGUCUGGUAUCCUAAUUCCAUUCCCAAACAUUGGGCCUGGCUUGCUAUUAGAGAUAGGCUUUCUGAAAUGAGGGGCAAUGAAAUGGGAAUAUUCUGCAGAUUGCCUUCACUUUGUGGUUUAGUUACUUGUGAAAGCAGAGAUUGGGGCAAUGUUUUAUGAACGUUGCAUUGCUAUAAGAUUGGG